AUCUUCCUAGUACAACUUAAUACAUGUGACUUCCAAUCACACAACCCCAGUUAAAAUCCGGGGGAAGAUA
rnacentral:tRNA from 1 species